UUCUCUUCUCCACUUUCCUCAUCCGCUUUGUGUUUCUGUUAACCACUGUCGAUGACAUUGAUGGAGAUGUCAAAUGCUCGACAAUUGGUAACUUUCUUGAUUUCACUUUACAUCUAUCUUUUUUAUCUAUCUAUCUAUUUUUAUCUCUCAUUAUAUUUCACAUAAGUAUGUAUAGUACAUUUAAAAUGAAACAACCACAUUUGUAAAUUCUUCCAACUCCCCAAGAGAACUCAAUAAUUUGUCAUAUAACAAAUAUAUAUAGAUAUGCCACAUUCAUGUAUCUAAAUACUUUCACAUUAGUAUGUUUCAGUACUCUUAGUUUCAUUUUAAAUUACUAACAUUUCUAUUACAAUAGCACUUCACCUCAAAAAAAAAAAAUUUACAAAUAGCACUCUUUACCCAGAAAAAAACAAGGUUUACGGUAGUACUGUAUCUUUUGUUAUUAUUAUGUCAAGAAAGUUGAGACCAACAAUAUGAUAUCAUGUCAAAAGUUACUAACACAAAUUAGAUUCAUUGAGACUUGAUUAAAUAUUAAGUUUAUCCAUGUAAACUACAUGAAGGUACAUGCAUCAAGUUUUAGUUUUGUAUAGAGAAUAUAUCAAAAGUUUAUCAUUAAAAUAAAAAACAUCGAUAAAAAGUAAGCAUCUGGUUUAUUAUAACUUAAAAAGUUGUCUGCUUUUUCCCUUGGGAAAAGUGAACAUGUCAGUUUAAGUUUUUCUUGGUUUGGUAAUUCCUUCAAUUGGCUUUAUCCCCUGCUCAUUAGUAAAUAACCUAUAAUAUAUUAUCUACUUAGACUGGAUAUAUAAUAUUUAGUGAUUUGAGUUUUAGAAUAAAAUCCAAAUGUCUCUUGGCGGUUAAUUUUUUUGGUAAAAGAAAGGGAUAGAUUAGAAUAUUGCUGACAUAAUUAAAAAAAUUGUUUCUGAUUAUGUAUGUUUUUGGAUUCAUGUGAAUGCACCGACCAUAACAGAAGAUGUGAAUCUCAAAUCUGAAAUUAUGAAAAAAAAAUAAAUAAAUAACCAGGAAGAACUUCAAAAACAAUUGCUAUCUAAUCUCUUGGUUAUUUGUCAAUAUCACCUUAAAGUUCAAGCUACAAAAUAUUCACGUUUAAGAAAGAUCAAUUAAAAUAGAUGAAUAGUUAAUUUACUUGGUGUUUGGUGCAACAGCAACUCUGUUAUCACCACCUGGCUAUAUCUUCUUAAUUACUAAAAACAGUUGCUAUAGAUAAUAAAUAGUUAUGAUGACAUAAAAAGUUAUUUUUUUUAUUGGUUUGAUAUUGAUAUCUAUAAUGGUAAUGGUAGGUUGCUUGGGAAAAAGACUAGGACCAAGGAUUCUGGGGAGAAAGCUGGAGUCAAAUGUAAUCUACCAACCUGUAAAUUUGCUACCCAAACAUGACUUAAUUGAUUUAUUAAGAGCUUGAUUUAAACUAACGUGGGUUUUCUAAAUAGGUCCCGGAAGUUAUGUACCACGUACUAGAAGAACCGCUUAGCCAAGAAGAACUAAAAGGAAGGUCUGACAUACCUCAGUCACUGGAAGAAUUCAUGGCUGAAAUGAAAGAGACCAAAACAGAUGCAAAGACAUUUGCGGUCAAGCUUAGAGAAAUGGUACAUCCUUCUCUUCUUCCUUUCAUAUGAUAACUGAGGUUGAUGAAUAUAUUUAUCUGGAAAUAAAUUUGGCACUUCCUCAGGUCAUCCUUCUUGAACAAAGAACAAGAACAGCCAAAAUCCAAGAAUAUCUAUACCGCCAUGUAGCAUCAAGCAGCAUACCUAAACAGCUCCACUGUCUGGCUUUGAGACUUGCCAGCGAACACUCCACCAAUGCAGCUGCCCGCCUCCAGCUCCCGUCCCCAGAGCUUGUCCCAGCCCUUGUUGACAACUCGUACUUCCACUUUGUCCUUGCCUCAGACAAUGUCCUUGCAACAUCUGUGGUUGCUGCAUCCUUGGUGAGAAACUCGUUACACCCCCAGAAAGUAGUC
rnacentral:lncRNA from 1 species